rnacentral:rRNA from 1 species
UACGAAGGGGGCUAGCGUUGUUCGGAUUUACUGGGCGUAAAGCGCACGUAGGCGGGUCUUUAAGUCAGGGGUGAAAUCCCGAGGCUCAACCUCGGAACUGCCUUUGAUACUGGAGACCUUGAGUUCGGGAGAGGUGAGUGGAACUGCGAGUGUAGAGGUGAAAUUCGUAGAUAUUCGCAAGAACACCAGUGGCGAAGGCGGCUCACUGGCCCGAAACUGACGCUGAGGUGCGAAAGCGUGGGGAGCAAACAGG